rnacentral:rRNA from 1 species
AAAGGAAUUGACGGGGGCCCGCACAAGCGGUGGAGUAUGUGGUUUAAUUCGAUGCAACGCGAAGAACCUUACCAGGGCUUGACAUCCCGGGAACCCUGCGGAAACGUGGGGGUGCCUUUCGGGGAGCCCGGAGACAGGUGGUGCAUGGCUGUCGUCAGCUCGUGUCGUGAGAUGUUGGAUUAAGUUCCGCAACGAGCGCAACCCUCGUCGUAUGUUGCCAGCGGUUCGGCCGGGCACUCAUACGAGACUGCUGCAGCAAUGUGGAGGAAGGUGGGGAUGACGUCAAGUCAGCAUGCCCCGUACGCCCUGGGCUACACACAUACUACAAUGCGAGGAGCAAACGGUCGCCAACCCGUGAGGGGGAGCUAAUCCGAGAAGCCCUCGCUCAGUGCAGAUCGCAGGCUGCAACUCGCCUGCGUGAAGGCGGAAUCGCUAGUAACCGUCGGUCAGCAGGUACGACGGUGAAUACGUUCCCGGGCCUUGUACACACCGCCCGU